rnacentral:lncRNA from 1 species
GAUGGUUUCCAGUUUCAUCCAUGUCCCUACAAAGGACACGAACUCAUCAUUUUUUAUGGCUGCGUAAAAAUUAUAUUUUUAACUUUACUUUUAUACAUUUAAACUAGCAUUUAUUAGGCUGGGCUUGGUGGCUCACGCCUGUAAUCCCAGUACUUUGGGAGGCUGAAGCGGGCGGAUCACUUGAGGUCAGGAGUUGGAGACCAGCCUGACCAACAUGGCAAAACCUUGUCUCUACUAAAAAUACAAAAAUUACCUGGGCGUGGUGGUGGGCGCCUGUAAUCCCAACUACUCAGGAGGCUGAGGCAGGAGAAUCGCUUGAACCUGGGAGGUGGAGGUUGCAAUGAGCUGAGAUCGUGCCAUUGCACUCUACCCAGGGUGACAGAGUGAGACUCUGUCUGAACAAACAAACAGACAAAAAGCCCACUAGCAUUUAUUAUUUUUUUAAUGUAAAUGUGGCUGAACGCGGUGGUUCACACCUGUAAUCCCAGCACUUUGGGAGGCUGAGGCAGGUAUCACUGAGGUCAGGAGUUCGAGACCAGCCUGGCCAACAUGGUGAAACCCCGUCUUUACUAAAAAUACAAAAAUUGGCUGGGUGCGGUGGUGCACACCUGUAAUCCCAACUACUCGAGAAGCUAAGGCAGGAGAAUCGCUUGAACCCGGGAGGCGGAGGUUGCAGUGAGCUGAGAUUACACCACUGCUCUCCAGCCUGGGCAACAGAUCGAGACUCUGUCUCAAAAUAAAUAAAUAAAUAAAUAAAUAAUUCUGUCACAUGCUGUGACAUGGAUGAACCUUGAGGACAUUAGGCUAAGUGAAAGAAGCCAGUCACAAAAGGACAAAUAUUGUAUGAUUCCACUUAUAUGAGGUAACUAGAGUAGUCAAAUUCAUAGAGACAGAAAGUAGAUUAGGAGUUCCAGGGGUUGGGGGUGGAGGAGUGGGAGUUAUUGCUUAUAAUGUAUAAUAUAUUUUAUAUUGUAAAAUAUACAAAAUAAAUAAAACGAAUUUGUGUUUUGUUUUGUUUUGAGUCAGAGUCUCGCUCUGUCUCCCAGGUGAGAGUACAGUGAUGCAAUCUUGGCUCACUGCAACCUCUGCCUCCCAGAUUCAAGGGAUUUUCGAGCCUCUGCCUCCUAAGUAGCUGGGACCACAGGCGCAAGCCACCAAGCCUGGCUGAUUUUCAUAUUUUACUAGAGACGGGGUUUCACCACGUUGGUAAGGCUGGUCUCAAACUCCUGACCUUAAGUGAUCUGCCCACUUCAGCCUCCCAAAGUGCUAGGAUUACAGGUGUGAGCCACCAUGACUGGCCACGUUUUUUUUGUUUUUUUUUUUUUGUUUGUUUGUUUUUGAGAUGGAGUUUAGCUCUGUUGCCCAGGCUGGAGUGCAGUGGUGCGAUCUCCGCUCACUGCAAGCUCCGCCUCCGGGGUUCACGCCAUUCUCCUGCCUCAGCCUCCCGAGUAGCUGGGACUACAGGCGCCCGCCACCACGCCCGGCUAAUUUUUUUGCAUUUUUAGUAGAGAGGGGGUUUCACCGUGUUAGCCAGGAUGGUCUCGAUCGCCUGACCUUGUGAUCCACCCGCCUCGGCCUCCCAAAGUGCUGGGAUUACAGGCAUGAGCCACCGCGCCUGGCCUGUUGUUUUUGUUUUUAAUCACACACGCACACCUUCUCUACCCCCGCAAAAAAUAACUGCAGUUUUCUCAAGACAUGAAUGUUCAUAGCAACACCACAUAUAUAUGUCAUUACCAAGCUGGAAAUAGCUCACACCCAAUGUCCAUCUGAAGUAGAAUGGACACCUAAAUUAUGCUGUUUCAGCCAAUGGAAUACUACACAGGAAUGAAAGAGCAAAUAUUACAUCUUCUCACAGAAGAUGGAUGAUGCUUAUAAGCAUAAUGUGCAACAAAGGAAGAGGACCUAUAUGAUUGCUUUUUAAAUUUUAUUUUUUUGAGACAGGGUAUUGCUCUGUUGCCCAGGCUAGAGUGCCCUGGCUCGGUCAUAGCUCACUGCAGCCUUGAAUUCCUGGGCUCAAGCAAUCCUCCCGCCUCAGUCUCUUCAGUAGCAAGACUAUAGGCAUGAACCGCUACUCCCACCUACAUUUUAAAUUUUUUUGUAGAGACGGGGUUUCUCUAUGUUACCCAGGUUGGUCUUGAACUCCUGGCUCACCUCCCCUCCCCUCCCCUCCUUUCUUGACAGGGUCUCACUGUUGCCCAGGCUGGAGUACACUGGCAUAUCACUGCAGCCUCAAUCUCCUGGUCUCAAGUGGUCCUCCCACCUCGGGCUCCUAAGUAGCUGGAACUUCAGGCACUCACCAUCAAGCCUGGCUAAUUUUUGUAUUAUUUGUAGAGAUAGAGUCUCAAUAUGUUGCCCAGGGUGGUCCUGAAUUCUGGGACCCAAGUUAUCCUCCCACCUUGGCCUCCCAAAAUGUUGGAAUUACAGGUAUGAGCUACCAUGCCUGACCUCAGAAUUUUUUCAUCUUGCAAACCUGUAACUCUAUACACUCACUCCCCAGUUUCCCUUUCGCCCAGUCCCUGGCAGUCACUAUUCCUUUUUUUUUUUUUUUUUUGAGACGGAUGGAGUCUCGCUCCGUUGCCCAGGCUGGAGUGCAGUGGCGCGAUCUCGGCUCACUGCAAGCUCCGCCUCCCGGGUUCACGCCAUUCUCCUGCCUCAGCCUCCCGAGUAGCUGGGACUCCAGGCACCCGCCACCACACCCGGCUAAUUUGUUUGUAUUUUUGGUAGAGACAGGGUUUCACCGUGUUAGCCAGGAUGGUCUCGAUCCCCUGACCUCGCGAUCUGCCCGUCUCGGCCUCCCAAAGUGCUGGGAUUACAGGCGUGAGCCACCGCGCCCGGCCUGGCAGUCACUAUUCUACCUUGUUUCUAUGAAUUUGACUACUCUAGGUACCUCAUAUAAGUCGAAUCAUACGGUACUUGUCCUUUUGUAACUGGCUUAUUUUUUAUUUUGAGACAGAGUCUUGCUCUGUUGUCCAGGCUGAAGUGCAGUGGCACAAUUAUUAUAACUGGCUGCAGAAUCGACCUCCUGGACUCAAGUGAUACUCCCACCUCAGCCUCUCAAGUAGCUGAAACUACAGGUGCUCACCUGGCUAAUUUUUUUUUUUUUUUUUUUUUUGAGACAGGGUUUCGCUCUGUCGCCCAAGCUAGAGUGCAGGGGCGCCAUCUCGGCUCACUACAAGCUCCGCCGCCCGGGUUCACGCCAUUCUUC